rnacentral:rRNA from 1 species
UAGGGAAUCUUCGGCAAUGGGGGCAACCCUGACCGAGCAACGCCGCGUGAGUGAAGAAGGUUUUCGGAUCGUAAAGCUCUGUUGUAAGAGAAGAACGUGUGUGAGAGUGGAAAGUUCACACAGUGACGGUAACUUACCAGAAAGGGACGGCUAACUACGUGCCAGCAGCCGCGGUAAUACGUAGGUCCCGAGCGUUGUCCGGAUUUAUUGGGCGUAAAGCGAGCGCAGGCGGUUUAAUAAGUCUGAAGUUAAAGGCAGUGGCUUAACCAUUGUGCGCUGUGGAAACUGUUAAACUUGAGUGCAGAAGGGGAGAGGGGAAGUCCAUGUGGAGCGGUGAAAUGCGUAGAUAUAUGGAGGGACAGCGGUGGCGAAAGCGGCUCUCUGGUCUGUAACUGACGCUGAGGCUCGAAAGCGGGGGGAGCAAACAGG